rnacentral:lncRNA from 1 species
UGAUGACUCAGCAUAAAUUCACAGUUUACAGUAUGCAAAGUUUACUCAAAGUCCUGGAUACAAAAUUAAAUCAUAAUAUUUUCAUAUUUGUAAGUUAAAUUGUUAAGAAGUGCUUAUAUUUACUCUUCGCAGUCAUUGAAACUCAUAGAUCCUUCCUGAAUAUUAUUUAUGGGGUAUUUGUGUCCUUUCGAUAACCCAAAAGUAAGCCGCAACACCUAAAUCUGCUUUUUUGUCACCACGGCAUAAUAAAUACAAGCUAGAAAAACAAAAAAUAUCUCAAGAAAACUUACAAUAGUGUGUUCUAUCCUGAAUAUGUACUAAAUAUUCCAAAUUGCUAGAAACAGCAGAAUGAUUUAGGAAAUUUGAGGCCCCAGGGGCAAAAAACAUAGAAAAUUGCCUACCCCCUGUGUCAUAAAACAAAUAAUUUAACUUGUAAAUGCUAUGAUUUUAUGAUUUUAAAG